GGACCCGCACAAGUAGUGGAGCAUGUGGUUUAAUUCGAAGAUACGCGCAGAACCUUACCAACACUUGACAUGUUCGUCGCGACUCUAAGAGAUUAGAGUUUUCGGUUCGGCCGGACGAAACACAGGUGCUGCAUGGCUGUCGUCAGCUCGUGUCGUGAGAUGUUGGGUUAAGUCCCGCAACGAGCGCAACCCUCACUUUUAGUUGCCAUCAUUAAGUUGGGCACUCUGAAAGAACUGCCAGUGAUAAGCUGGAGGAAGGUGGGGAUGACGUCAAGUCCUCAUGGCCCUUACGUGUUGGGCUACACACGUGCUACAAUGGUAUCUACAACAGGAAGCAAGACUGCGAGGUCAAGCAAAUCCUUAAAAGAUACCUCAGUUCGGAUUGUUCUCUGCAACUCGAGAGCAUGAAGGUGGAAUCGCUAGUAAUCG
rnacentral:rRNA from 1 species